AGAGGGCCUUUAAUUGUUACCAAAAAUAGGACGGCUUUAUGUCUUAUUAGUGGGUGGGUGGGCGGGUGGGCGGGAGCCGUCCUCUUGUAUCAGAUCUCGGCAGUCUCAGAAACCUCUGGGAAUUUGCUGUGCGUGUAGCAGAAGAACGAGUGAGAAAAAUUCGCUUUGGAGCCAGCCCUGGCUGGAAAAAUGAAGUUAAAUGAAACUCUCUCUCUCUCUCUCUCUCCGCAGCAUUUGGCUAAAACCUUGGUCUUGCUUGCUGAUUCCACCUGACUGAUGCCAUCGUUGAAAGACAAAUAGGAACACAUGGAGAAUGUGACUUUCAGGGAAUGAAUAAGAUGGUAAGCUUCAUAAGGGCAGAGACCCUGCAGUGACUCCAGUGCCUGGACAGCAUUGUGCACGUGCUGGGCACACAGUUCACCUUCUAGAGCAACAACAGAGCGUAGAGGCUAUUCAUGACCAGGACAUGCUCAUCCAAUGAAACUUCACAUCCCGUCUCAGAGUUACAGUAGAGGCAUUGGAUCUCAUCAAGGGGGCCAGAGGACAAUUCCCUAAAGAAGUAUUGAUUGAGCUGAGUUCCCAGGUUAGCGGCCAUUAUGGCCUUGCACGUGGGUGCUAUGAGGAACUGUGCCCAGCACUGUGGUACCAGAACUGCCAUGGAGAUACAACAGCGUCCCUGUCCAAGCCCGUGAUUCAUACAUCACCAAAGGCCCUGGGUUUUCCAGCAGGAGCAGCUCGAUAUUAGUGGCCCAGCCACAGUGACAGCCACACAGAGGAGUUGACAAUGAUCCCAGCAGAGAGCCAGAGCACAAGAGAAGGGAGGUGAGGUCCUGGUGUGUGUUAGGGAGCACAUGUGCGAAGUUCUCCAGGAAUCCUCAGAUCAGGACCGGGGCUUUGUGGAGGGGCUGGAGUUUCUGGGAGAGCCGAUGAAAGCAGAGGGAGAGAGGAACAGCCUGUGCUGGUUCUGAUCCCAGCUCUCCCCUCAGGCUGGCUGUGGCCUAGGAAACACGCAUUAUGCAAGUAAACAAAUCAUUAUUAUGAGCCUCAAAAGCUCCAGCUUAGCUCUGCCUCCCUUUUACAAACACUGACACAUGCAAAUGGGUGUCAGUUCUUGUGUGUGUGUGUGUGUGUGCGCGCGCGUGUGCUCGCGUGCGUGUGUACACAUGGUUGUGAUGUAAAAUGUUGCUUACAAUCAGUCUAGGACCAAAAAAAGAGAAAGAAAAAGAAAACGCUUUAUCAGAGGAUGAGAAAGAUCUUCACCCACCCCAGGAGUCUGUGAAAUUGCUGAAAAAUGUUGAUCUCAAUUCCAAAAGAAUUCACUUUCUGAUUGAGGGCAGUAAGUAGACUGAUCAGAAUAUCAUUUCUUUAUAGCUGUGUGACCUUGAGCAAGUUGCUUGGCUUCUCUGUGCCUCAUUUUCUACAUUGAUAAAGUAGUAGUAAUGCCAUCUUUACAUUGUUGGUAUUAGAAUUCGUGAUAAUGCUCGUGGAAGGCAUGUCACAAAGAAGGCAUUCGGCUACUGAUAGUUCUGCCAGAAAUUAGAUGGGAAGUGGGCAAGGGCAGUGAGCAGAGGACCAGAUUUUAAAGAUUACUUAGAAGGAGUGUGUCACCGAGGACUCUUUGGUAGAAAGUGUCAGACAUUGAUUUUGCCAGUCUUAGCAUAAAAGGCCCUCAUUGCCAUGGUGAUAGAGUGACUCGCAGAAUCCGAGGAUGGUCUGUCUAAGCAGAUUUCAGAAAGGAGAAACUUGUGGGAGCUUGAGGAUCUAGGCGGCAGGAGACAAGAGACAAGUUCCUCAGGUGAAUCCACUCCAACCAGUUCUUGUCCCCAUGUUCCUCCCCAGAGGAGAGAGCUGGGUGGGCUGAGCUGGAGUCUGGUACCCACCCAUCUGCUACGGGAACAGACACCUGGGCAGCAAUCCCACCAAGUGAGGAUGCAGUGGGAGAGGUGUAGCACCCCAAAGGAAACUUUGGUCUUACUACCAAGAGCAGAGAGGAGGGCUAGAUAGGUAAAACCAAGGGACACUCACUAGGGGACGGUAUGUGUGCUAGCAUCUGUUAGCCAAUAUUGUAUCCCUUGGCCCCAACCUAUCACCCCAACCAAACAACCAUAUAAUUUUUAAGAGAAUGACCAGAGGACAAUUUAGACAAACAGAUAUGGGUAAUUUCUCAAAAGACAGCUAAACCCUUGUGUCCUGACUAUAGAAUUGGGGACUUUUUGACUCCUAUGGUCCAACUUUGGCCAAGAGAGGAGUUAGAAGACAAUAGGAAUAAAGUUGACACUUAAAGAAUGCAUAUUUUGUGCCAUCUGCUGUUCUAAGCCCUUUAUGUAAUUAAUUCAUUUACUCCUCGUAACAAUCUAAUGGGCUAGAUAUUUAUUAUUAUUGUUGUUGCUGUUAUUAUUUCCUCUCCACUUACAGAAAAGAAAACUUAGGGCCAGGAGAUGAAGUAGUGUGCCCAGGGUACUUAGCUCAUGAGGAGUGGCACUGGGAUCUAACCCAGGCAUCUGAGUCUGAUGUCCAUGGUGUUAGCCACUACAGGGCACUGUCUCCCCAAAGGGUCAGUGGGAUGCAGGAUUCUGGGUGCUGUUUUGGAGGUCCAAAGUGCCUCAGGGGGAAAGUGUGGCUCUUGUACUACAAUUCCCAGCAUGCAACUGGGCUAUCAUCUUAACCCCUUCCUCACCAAAAGUUCCUGGUGAUCUUGAGUAAAAAAAUUUUUAAGGGCAAAUGUGGCAAAAUCUGGUUUCCUUAAAGGAUGACUAUGCAAUUGAGGCAUGAAUGCAGCUACAAGUGGAAGUAGAAGAGGAGAAGGUAAAAUUCUAGUUUAAAAUAUCCUCUACGUUUUUUUUUUUUUAGUGUUACUGGAAUUACUGUGGGAAAGACGGUUUUUAUUUUUAUUUUUUUAAAGAUUUUAUUUAUUUAUUUGAUAGACAAGAGUACACAAGUAGGCAGAGAGUGAGAGGAGGAAGCAGGCUCCCCGCUGAGCAGAGAGGCAAAGGCAGAGGCUUUAACCCACUGAGCUAUCCAGGCGUUCCAGGAAAGGUGGUUUUUAAACUGACAAAUGUUUACUGUGAUAAUAUCACUAAGGGCGUUAUAAAGCACCCAUUCUCAAACUUUGUUGCACUUUGUAAUCACUUGGAGAAUUUCUAAAAUACUUAAUGCUGGGGUCACAUCCCUAGAGGUUCUGAUUUAAUUGGCCUGGAGUAUGACCUGGACAUCGAGACUUUUAAUUCUAAAUUGUAGCAAAUUUCUAAAGUGCAGCAAAAUUUGAGAACCCUUGUUUUGAAGAAGAGAAAUAUUCAGGUGGGGUCAUAAAGGUAAAGCAAAGUGUGACUCGCUCAGGGACCUUGUCAGGAAAAUGACAGGGAGACAGAAUAGACUAUCAGGCAAUGAUUUUCAAUCCUGGCUGCACGUUAAGAUCACCAGGGAACUGUUUUUAAAAAUUGCCUUAUCCCGGACCAACUGAAGUAAUAUCUCUGAGGAUGUAUUCUGGUGAGAGAACUGAACCCCAGAACAGUGAUUCUCGAAGUGUUCCCAGACCAGAACUUGGUAGAGCUAGAGAUUCUUGGGCCCCAUCCCUGACAAAUGGAAACAGAAAUUCUGGGGGAGCACCCAGCAUUUUAAAUUUUCACAAAGCUUCGCAGUGGUUCUGAUGCUCUGUCAAGUUUUGAUAACCACUGCCCUGGAAUGGAGGCUCCAUGGAGAAAAGAACUUGGUCUGACGUUUUCACCAAUGAUCCUAGGGAAGUGGUAGGUACAGAGAAUGUGCUUUCCAUAGUCUGUUCCAUUAAGGGCCCUCAACGAACCAGGCCUCCCAUUACUCAUGUCCUUGUGCCCUCUCCCCUGGGAGCAGGACUGGCCCUCUUUAACCAACAAGAUGAGCACAAGUGAUAUACUGCCAGUUCAUGACCAGAGUCUUAAGAACUAGCAGCUUCUGCUUUCGUAUUUUUAGAAGGCUUGAUGUGCUUUAUCAGUAGUCAGGCUGUUUGUGAGGAGGCCACAUAAGAGUUAGAAAUCCUGAGUCUCCAUAGAGAGACACAGCCACCCCAGCACCCAGGCUGAGUUCAGCUCCAGCCAGGUUUAGCAGAUGAAUGCAGCUGCAAGAGAGACCAGUGGCAAGACCAACAGCAGGAACUCCCAGCUGAGCCCACACCAGAUCAAAGAGCCAUGAGCAAAUAAAAUUAUUUUAAGCCAGGAUGUGUUGGUUGGUUGGUUAAUGUAGCAACAGGAAACAUGAAACAAUGCUCAAUACAUACCUGUUGAAUUAAUGGUGAAAGUGCUUUGGGGACACGGAGCCAGAACAGUCUCUCUCCUUUGUCAAAGGAGGAAAAAGAGGAGUUAAAUAGAAAGCAGAGACAUACUCGCCAGUUGACAAAAAGAAUGGCUGAGGAGGGGACUUUGACCAGAUGCCAUUAAUACC